ensembl:lncRNA
GUGAGGAGAACAGCGGGGGAGGAACGCCAAGAAGGGUUCAAAAGGAGCAAAAUGGGAAAACAUGCCGGGGAAGGGAAGCCCCCGCCACCCCUGUCUGUCCCCCAGGGAUGACCACGUGCAAGGGGGCGAGGUAUCACUUACUAGACUUUCCCCGACUAGCUGAACCAUUAAACUAGGACAGUGAGGCGCCUGCCACGUACUCGGGGCAUUUUCUAAUCAGGAGGGUAUUCGUGGCAGCCCUCCCCUGUGCCAGGGCCCCGUGCAAAGGGUUUCACGUGCAUCCUCCCAGUUACGCCUCCCAGCCACCCAUGAGGUCAGUUCUAUUAUUACACUGCUCCUCUGUCCUCCGGAAGAGGACCAGUGAGGGAACUGCCAAGCCCCACGCUCCGCAGAAAGUCUGUGGGGAUCAUCGGGGCCACAAGUCAUUAGCAGGACGUUUCAGGGAGAGCACUUCCUCACAAAGAAGAAAAGAAAGCCACACGCCCAAGAACAGGAGAGAGGAGCAGCCAGAAGCAAGUAGAAGUGAUGUCUCCAGCCAUGAGGCCCGCGGGAACAAGCACGUGAGUCCCACGCACAUGGCCGAACCCCCGCUGCUCCACUUCCUCCUGGGGCCCCCUCCUCAGUGAAGCUGGGGCAGACGCGGGACUGGAAUCACAUCCCGGGAUCUCUGGAGCUCUGGUUUCACAGACACUGUGAGCACCGGGUGCCGAGUCACCCAGAGCCUUGGUCCAUGGCUCACGACAAAGGAAGCAGGGUGACACAAGGAUAGUGAUGCCCUGGGGACGGCGCAGAGGCCUGUCUACCACCCAUGCGUCCAAGAACGAAGGCUCCCCGCGCAAGGGGGUCCCCGGGGUGGGGUCGAAAGCCUGCAAUUACUGCUGAUGACAACCUUCGGGCCAGCUCCAUGGUGCGGUUUAUGGAGACUCUGAGCCGGACACACAGAGGUUCGCUGCGGGAUGAAAGGCCAGCUGGAAGGGCAUGAUGGGCAGGGGACGGGCACGGCCUGGGAAAAGGACACAAACGCACGAAUGUCAUCAGUCUGGGCUGGUGGCUGCUGGGUGCCAUCCUUCCAUCCCGCGCCCACUGCGUGGGGUCAAGACUUGUCCGCAUCCGGGGAAGGAGUGACCACAACACCCUGGGCUCCUGGAACCGCUUGUCCCCUCUAAGCUCCCACUCCAGCCUCAAUGGUCCAUCCUAACAUGGUUCCCCAUGGCCCCCAGCAGGAACCAUAAACUCACAUGCCCUUGGGGACCAGGCUGGGGACCAAGGAGUGAAGGAGGCUGGAGGGAGACAAUAGGGAGUGGUGGAGACUGUGAACAACGGGAGACCACAGGCCCCUGACACUGGGCAGCUGUCACUCAGCUCCAACUCGUGUUCGUCAUGCAGGACUGUGGGUCCAGGGCUGCCAGAGUUUUCCAUUGUUCGAGAGCCGAGCUGUGGCUGGCACCCAGAGGCCCUGAACCAGAACACCUCGGAGGCGCCCGCCCAGUUUGGAGAUCUGAUUCCCAGUCUGGCCACCAACACACGUGCGUUCUCCUCCAGUGAGG